UCCCCAUUAACACACCAUAGCAUUUAAGCGCCGCAAUAACCAGGUACAGGUAAGCUGUGCUCCUGCUGCUUCAUUGUUUCGGCUUUGUCACUGUUGCUGCCGUUAGCCUGACGCUGUCUGAUACAGCCUCUGUUGCCGCUUGGGUGGUGUCUACUGGUGGAAGGACCAUGCUGAGUUUUUUUUGUUUUUAGGGUCUGGUCCGAGCGUGGCUGCCCGGGAAGGUGGAGGGUUUUGGUGAUAGAGUCUCUCACUUCAGCCCCAUCACUCCUUGCGUGACGUGGUAUUUUUGCACACCCCUCACUUAUUUUGCAUGCUUUUGUUGUCCU